UAAAGAUUAAAAGUUGUCAUAAUUUGACAAAUUUUCUAAAACAUGAAUCCGCAAUACAUCCAUUACACUAUUUAGACUCAAGUAGAGUGACAAAAUGAGAAUUUUAGUAACAACAAUGAACCGACUGGGCUGGCAGUGUCAGAUCAUAUUUCAGUGCCAUCAAGGAUACAGUUGACCAAUCUCUUUGAACAGCCCUUCCAAUUCAAAUAGAUUGGACAUGAGUUAAUGUAAACACUACGACAUUCCUACUUACUACUCUCGCCCAAUGGUCAAAAUACACACUAAUAUGGGAAUGAUUUCUUCAUCAUUUCCAUCUGUCUUUGAUUCAUCAGUUGCAAAUUACUACAUGUUUCAUCAUGUACUGCAAUAAUACGACAACAUUUUGGUCUCAUUUCUAAGUGUUACCGCUGUUCAUAUUGUUACGGUGAGAUGGAAACAGUGUUUAGAUCUUGCAUUGUUUGCUCCAGGCUCUCGCAGUUUGAGAUUCCGUUUGAGAUAUUUACUAAAUGUGACUAAUGUGUGCAAUAUGUCAAUAGGCAGUGUCCCAGUUUCAGUGUGGAGCAUUGCUCUUCCAGCUACAGCUGAGGGCUCUGAUGUCUUAUGUUCCAGCUGCAGAACAGUGAGAAAUGAGACUCAAGUGAUGGUGAUGUGGCCUGACUUCUUAGUAUGACACACCAGGGACGUCCUGGGAGUGCAGAGUCCCCACAGGUUCCUUGGGAAGACACGAGCUCAUUCAAAAUGAUUAAACAGUCAAGUCCUUCCCGGCCCUCGCAAGUCAAGGCUGACUUUCUAUGAAUAUCAAGGUGCAAUUUAAAUCAACAGGAUAUGUUUGGAUGAUAAAGUGCAUCGAGUGUGAAAUAAGGCAACGUAAACUCCCCACACGCCAGUAAUUAUCUGCUUCAGUGAAGAUCAAUGUCUGAGCGAGAGCAUUUUUGUGUUUGAAUUCUUUAGAAUCAAGCGCACAGGUGGGCCAAAAACAAAACAAGAAAAGGACACAAUGAGAAAAUCAAAACACACAGCCAAUUAAAAGUUGAUUGUCCCUGAUGACAAGUUGACAUAAAAAAGAUUUCACAUUUUCCCUUCGCGAUUGUGGCUAUCGUCUCCUGUGCAGCGGCAGGACUGUGACAUUUUCAAAGUCAAGGUAACGCGGGCCAAAAUGGAUUGUAAUUAAAGUUGACAUCAGGUGCCUCAUGCGCCUUCCCUUCUCCACCACAGGCUUUCAUCUAAAUGAUUCAUGCAGAGAACAGCGGGCCUUUCAUGCAGUUAGGACCUCACAAAGGAAUAACAACGAGAUGGCACAAAGCAAGCGGACACAGAUUUACAAUGACACCACCGCCUCGCAUCAAGUCAAGUCAGACCGAUGCAGGGGCACUCAGCUCAUAUUUUGAGUCAUUGCUGGGAAAUGUAGGGGUGUAAAUGGAAUAAGGGGGAUAAAAAUGGAAAUAUAAUAGAAUCACAAAGCGUAAUGAAGACGAAAUGUGGCAAAAUGCUCCGCUUCCAGGUGUGAACCUUUUCCAACAGGCUGGCCAGAUUGUCUGAAUAGGAACCACGUCUCAAGCUCACGGCGUCCACGCUGGAACACUGACGUGGUGUGAACAAAAGCAGAACAUUGAAUUAUUCUUUUCAACUGUGCCACACACAGGUAAAGGACACACAAUCGUUGAAUAGAAGCAGGGAAAAUUGUAGCUUUUUGUAUCUUACAUAAGUGGGUGGAGGGCUUCAUCUUGAUGUGACAAAGGCUGCUUUGAAUUAAAGAUGAGAUCUCUGUGUCUUUUGUCAAGUUAUUGCGAACAACACACAACUGUGAGGUACACAAUGUCUACAGUCUGCAAAACGCUGACACGGGUGCAAAAAAUAGCUUUGGCUAAUGGCAGGAGAAACGCUAGAAAAUCGCUUAGAAACAUGUCUGCCAUUUGCUCCUGCCUUAUCAGGUGAACCGAUGCGCACUGAGAGAAAGAAGGAUUAGGAACCACCUGUAAAAGACACAAGUGACUGGAGCAACCUGAUUCGUAAACAAGUGUUGGACUAUUGCGAAAGUAACUUGGCACUGUUUUAAAAUAACUAGUCCCAGUAACGAGUGGUGUAAGGCACUACUUCAAUGAAAAGACUAAUAAUAUUACACGCACUGCAGAGUACAGAAGAACAUCUGGGAAGUGCUUUUGGUGAUCCUUCAGAUGAAAAAUUGUCCCAGUUACAGAAGACAUCGUCAUGGUGCCAUCAAAAAAGGAGAUGAACUUUCUUCUUGAGCUGAUAGAGGUCGGGUUGCGGGGGCAGCAGCUUCAGAAGGAUAGGCCAGACGUCCCACUCCCUAGCCACUUCAGCCAGCUCUUUUUGGGGGAUCCCAAGGCGUUCCCGGGAGUCGUAGUCUCCCCAGCGUGUCCUGGGUCGGCCUCUCGGGCACCUUCCCAUGGGACAUACCCGGAACACCUCACCAGGGAGACGCUCCGGAGGCAUCCUAAUCCGAUGCCCGAGCAACCUCAUCUGGCUCCUCUUGAUGCAGAGGAGCAGCAGCUCUACUACAAGCCCCUCCCGGAUGGCCGAGCUUCUCACCUUAUCUCUAAGGGACAGCCCGGACACCCUAUGGAGGAAACUCAUUUCGGCCGCUUGUAUCCGAGAUCUUGUUCUUUCGGUCACGACCCACAGCUCGUGACCAUAGGUGAGGGUAGGAAUGUAGAUCGACCAAUAAAUAGAGAGCGUCGCCUUUCAGCUCAGCUCAGCUACCUCUUCACCACGACGGACCGAUGCAGAGUCCAUAUCACUGCAGACACAGCAACGAUCCGCCUUUCGAUCUCCUGUUCCAUUUUUCUAAGUUGUUACAUUUAUCAUUAUUAAAGCAUCCAGUGGGGCAUCACAAUACAAUUAGUCCACGACCGCAUAUAUCAGCAUUGGUUUGAUAUUGGUAUCAGAUUUUUGGAGUUGGAAAAUAUCGGGAUAUCAGUCAUGAAGUCAUUAUUCGGACAAAUCUAGUCUUUCAAAUUGAGUUUACGUGCAUUGGGACAACAUAGUUGUCGUUCAUGCAGCUCACUGUGUUUAAUAUCAUGGUGAAAGCCGAUGCUAACAAGUCUAUGCAAAAUUCCUCGGCACCACCUGGCCCACAAACUUUUCUCGCCUGGACUCUGAGCAGUGUAGCUUGUACCUGUUGCUGCUCUAACUGGAUGGGAGCAUCAUCUUGCGUCAGAAGAGCAGAGCAGUUGUAGAUUUAAAGAACUGUUUCAGUGUCUCCAGUAAGAUAUUGUCUGAUGAUUUAGGAGAUUAUUAUUUUGUACAUGGUUUAUCAUAGGACAAAGAUGUUUUCAUCUUGGGGUGGCAUAUUAGGCAGACGUAGGUGGAGCGUAGGCCGAGCGUAGGCCGAGUGUAGGCGGAGCGUAGGCCGAGCGUAGGCGGCGGGUAACAUUACCCGUCUACAUUAGCCGUCUAACAACUAAUCCAUACUAGUGUAGCCGACAUGUGGUAUAGUCCAAGUUUUUACUUAAUUAGCUCCGGGCCUUCGCCCUGCGGCAAAUGGCAAUUACCAGUACGACAUAUUGGCAAGCUCAGCUGACAACAACGUUCAAGUCGGAGUGUCUUGCACAACAACAACAACAACAACAUGCUCUAUUACCUUGAUACUGUUGUUUCUUUUAUUCUCCGAUUUUUUUCUUUCGUUUCUCUGCUUCAGAAGGAUAGAUUCUCUUCGAAAUAUUCGUGCAUCUAUUGUCCAAGCAAGUUUGAGCACCAAUCAUGGCAAAGCAGGUUCAACGUCACUCCCCAGGUUGUCACAUUGUAAUGACAAGAAAAUGGUUGUUUGCAUAGAUAAACGGCAAUGCGCGCCACAUUAUUCACGAUGCUCUAUUAACAACAUAUAAAAUGAGGUUGCCGGAUUGGGGUCCCCCUAGUGGUGGCCCUAAGCAGCUGCAUAGUCUGCGUAUAGGCUGGGCCGGCCUUGCUUAUAGGCUGCCAUUGACGGCGAUAGACGUUCAAACCAUUUUAACUCAGAGGGCUACCAGGCCUCACAGUUAAAAUGGAUUGCAAGUCUGUCGUUGUCAAUGGAGUUAACAUUCAUUAUCAUCUCACACCUUACCGUAAAAUGUACAGUAUGCAUGUCGCCAGUGUAUGGUUUUUUUUCUGGGAUUUUUUUUGUAUUAUUAUUUCAUUGAAAAUAUGCAAUGCAAACACAGUGGCUGUACUCAAGCAAUACAACAAAAGCAAUUAUUAUAUUAUUCAUCAAGAUUAACUGGUAAUAACACAAAGCAUUUUGUUAGUGGCUACACUUUGCUCCAAGGCAGAAAACGUUCAUUGUUCACCAUCAUUACAAUAAACUGUGUCUCCUCUGCAGGAGCGCAGCGUUUGGCAAGAUAAACAAAAGCGAGAUGUAAAUACUCACAACAGUGAAGACGCUCCUUGUCGCUUUUCUCCCCAUGAUUAGCAUUUCAAACACUUUUAUUUUCGUACAUUGCAGGAAUGUCUGCAUGUUUAUCCUGUGGUCCAUCCAAUCCACAAUCGAAACGCAGCCUGUGUGUGUACGUGCGCGUCUUCCCAGUCCAAAGGGAUCGACCUCUUUGUAAAACUCAGAGUGGGUCUGCAGAAUUGUCCACUGUUAUAGAUGUUAUAUUAUUUGUGCUUUUUUUAAUGGGCAGGGAGAAUGCAAACCAAUGGCUGGAGCCUGUUGAAAAUCCACAAACAAUAACCAGACCCAUCCUAUCUUUGAAUGCAUGUGCAUGUGCUGAUCGUAUACAGUAAAUGCACCACUGGGACAAUUGGGGAAAAAAUGUUCACAACAGUCAGUUCUUUUUUUGUCUUCACAAAUAGAUUGUCCACACAGGAUUACUAUGACUAAAUAUGUGUUUAACACAGUCAAUGUUAAAAAAAAAAAAAAAAAAAAAAAAGUUCCUCUCAUAUCAUCUAUUUUUUAGUGUAGUCUUUGUGAAUCCAACAGUCCUCAGGUUCCAGAGUUGCUUAGGAUUUGCUCUGAUUGGACGUUGCUGCUAAACUACCGUGCCACCUAAAACAAAAGUAGAACAACAAGCAUUUUGCAAUUGCAAUAGAACCUUAUUCCAACAAUUUGAAAAUUGAUUUAAUUUUUAACAUUUAACCUAAAACAGGGCAGAUUAUUCUUCUUCUAACUAACCGAUUUGAGAUCCUAGUAGGUGUACUGCAGGGCAAACCUUGCCCCUGCUUGAUUAGCAUCAUUCUUGACUAUACUGUACUUUGUACCUUCACGUCCUGUAUCCUCUUUUUGUUGUGAGACCAUAUGACACCUUUUUAUUGGAUUAAAUCUGCUUUGAAAUCCCAAAUUCAUGUUGACUUUUCGUGACAGACGCGUGAUGGUUGAGUGAAGCAUCAUAGCUCCAUGAAAUACUAUAAAAUGUAAAGACUGAAUCCAGUUAGUAAUAUUGGUAUGCCUAUAUGGGAAGGGAGGAGGGAUUAACCAGUUUGCUUUCUGAGUCAAACGCUAGUUAGCUCACAAUACAAUGAUUUUCUUAAAAUGCCCAUAAUGAUUAUUAAUUCUGCAAGCCUAUUACUAUUUAUGAGUUUCUUUAGUAGAACCCAACUUCUUUGUCAUUCUUCUGGCUACAAGUGAAGAGCGAAAAACAUGCUAUAACUCAUAAAUUUCUUGAUGGAUACCUGCUGUGUAGUCAAAGACUGCAAAUGAGAAAAGUCAAACUGAGUAACAGUAACUAACAGUGGGUUGACCAUUCAGUAGCAUCAACUGAACUGGAUUGAAUUGAAACUUUUC